AUACAGAGGGUGCGAGCGUUAAUCGGAAUUACUGGGCGUAAAGCGCGCGUAGGCGGCUUAUUAAGUCAGAUGUGAAAUCCCCGGGCUCAACCUGGGAACUGCAUCUGAUACUGGUAAGCUAGAGUUUUGGAGAGGGAAGUAGAAUUUCAGGUGUAGCGGUGAAAUGAAUAGAGAUCUGAAGGAAUACCAGUGGCGAAGGCGACUUCUUGGCCAAAAACUGACGCUGAGGUGCGAAAGCGUGGGUAGCAAACGGGAUUAGAAACCCCAGUAGUCC
rnacentral:rRNA from 1 species